rfam:Ovis aries breed Texel chromosome 3, whole genome shotgun sequence.
UCCCUAGUGGUCCAGUGGUUAAUACUCUGCUUUUCCAAUGCAGGAGGCACAGGUUCAAUCCCUGGUUGGGGAA